UACGUAGGGUGCGAGCGUUGUCCGGAAUUAUUGGGCGUAAAGAGCUCGUAGGCGGUCUGUCGCGUCGGUCGUGAAAACUUGGGGCUUAACCCUGAGCUUGCGGUCGAUACGGACUGACUGGAGUUCGGUAGGGGAGACUGGAAUUCCUGGUGUAGCGGUGAAAUGCGCAGAUAUCAGGAGGAAUACCAGCGGCGAAAGGCGGCGCUCUGGGCCGGUACUGACGCUGAGGAGCGAAAGCGUGGGGAGCAAACAGG
rnacentral:rRNA from 1 species